rnacentral:rRNA from 1 species
CCUACGGGAGGCAGCAGUGGGGAAUAUUGCGCAAUGGGCGAAAGCCUGACGCAGCGACGCCGCGUGAGGGAUGAAGGUCUUCGGAUCGUAAACCUCUGUCAGCAGGGAAGCACGGUCACUGUGCUAAUCAGCCGUGAAUUGACGGUACCUGCAAAGGAAGCACCGGCUAACUCCGUGCCAGCAGCCGCGGUAAUACGGAGGGUGCGAGCUUUGAUCGGAAUUACUGGGCGUAAAGCGCUCGUAGGCGGUAUGUCAAGUCAAGGGUGAAAUCCCCGCGCUCAACGUGGGAACUGCCUUUGAAACUGGCAAACUGGAGUGGGUGAGAGGAUAGUGGAAUUCCAGGUGUAGGAGUGAAAUCCGUAGAUAUCUGGAGGAACAUCAGUGGCGAAGGCGACUAUCUGGCACAUAACUGACGCUGAGGAGCGAAAGCGUGGGUAGCAAACAGGAUUAGAUACCCGUGUAGUC